rnacentral:rRNA from 1 species
GCGCAGCAGGCGCGAAACCUCCGCAAUACACGAAAGUGUGACGGGGCCAUCCCGAGUGCCGUCCGCUGAGGACGGCUUUUCCCAGUGUACACAGCUGGGGGAAUAAGGAGAGGGCAAGCCUGGUGUCAGCCGCCGCGGUAAUACCAGCUCUCCGAGUGGUGGGGACGCUUAUUGGGCCUAAAACAUCCGUAGCCGGCUGGGCAAGUCCUCCGUUAAAUCCAACGAUUCGAUCGUUGGGCUGCGGGGGAUACUGUCCAGCUUGGGGGCGGGAGAGGCCGACGGUAUUCCCGGGGUAGGGGUGAAAUCCUAUAAUCCCGGGAGGACCACCAGUGGCGAAGGCUGUCGGCUAGAACGCGCCCGACGGUGAGGGAUGAAAGCUGGGGGGAGCGAACCGGAUUAGAUACCCCUGUAGU